rnacentral:tRNA from 13 species
GGUUCCAUGGUGUAAUGGUUAGCACUCUGGUUUCUGAAUCCAGAGAUCCGAGUUCAAAUCUCAGUGGAUUCU